UUUGCAUUUGAUUCAAGUUUGGGUAUAGGUUUGGGAUUAAAAUCAAGUUGUGGGUUAGUUUUGGCAAAAACCCCUACAAUUUUCUACUCAAAAUUUAAGUAUUUUAAAAUAUAAUUUGGCUAACCGUACUCUGACCAGAUUCAAGUUAAGAAAAAUGUUUCUUUAUAAAAAUGUGUAUAGUGUGGAAAUUCAAGUAUAAUGUUGUUAGACUUGCAUGGAAUUAAAGCAUAACGUUCUUUACUUAAUAAAGAAAAUGAUAAAGAAAUUCUUCAUGUAAAAUAUUCAGAGGCGUUUUUACAAAUAUAUAUUUUAGAUUUAGAGGAUCCCAGAAAAGAAAAAAAACAUAGCUGAUGUGAAUAGAGAAACAAUUUCGAAACCCACAAAAAUGAGAAAUUUAAAACGUUAGACUCUACUAAUAUGAAGAUUUUGGAACAUUUGUUCAAAAUAAGAGAAGAACAUGAUUGAAACUUAUAGCCAGUUUGUCCUGUAAAUGUUGAUUUCACUGUUAUGUUCGACAACAAAUGAAACAUUGAUUCGUAGCCAUUACCAUACGUAACCUUGAUUCUCGAAUAAAAUACAAAACCUAAACCGGCGGAAAUUAACACAACACAAUUUGCAAUUUGAUGUGUGUUUUACAGUCGUUUUGAUGUUUGUUUGAUUAUAAAAGACAGUUCAUCUUAUAUGUUAUACGAUCGUUUGGAUGUGUGCUUGAUUAUUUUCGGCCAGGACAUAUAGUAGAGCAGAGGCUUUAAAUUUUAUAAAAUAUUUACAUGAGAAUUACUAUAGGUUAUAAUCAUUGUGAGAAAGAGAACACGACACAUAUUAUAAAACCGUAUUAUAUGCAUGUGUAUAAGUCUCGACAAUAAAGUCUGACCAGUGGAAAUAAUUGUAAAUACUCUAGUAAUGAGUGGGUCUAUAUCAAUGGUUGUUGAGAGUGGCUCUCAUGAUGACACGUCAGCAAAUGGCAUGCCCAUAAAUAUGUUGCACUUUAAAGGGUAUUCUUUGAAUUUGCUUCUCUAUUAAUAAUAAAGGGAUAUGUAAUGAUCCAAACCCAAGUCCACAUAUUCAAACCCGCAAAGGUCCAAGCCCAAACUCCUUUUCAUUUUGUUUUCUCUACCAAACCAUCCAAGAAAAUUAUAAGUUAGAGAGAAAGAGUUGAGAGAUUGAGAAUGGGGAACUUUUGCAGAGGCUGAGCCAAAACCGGAGUUUGCCGGAGUAACCGCACGCCGUGACCAAGCUGAGCUCAUCACCGCCGCUCGCAACCCUAGACCACCAUCGUGUUCCUCUCGUCGAGACGAAGCCAUAGACACCGACCGUGCUGCAAUCAGAGUCUGGACGAGCCCUCACGCGCCCCCGGAAGAUCGCCCUUUGUCAGCGCGUGAAACAGACGCGCCGCUGUUCGCCGAAGCCGCUGUGCUCGGCCGCCGUCAGCCCGACGCCGGGAAUCUGCCGCCGUAUCGCCGCCGCACCUCCGCCGUCGCCGGUGACUUUUCCCGUAAGACACCGCCAUCCGCCGUCGCCGCCGCCGCCGAUGACCGGCGCCGGUGACUCGCCGACGACUCGCCAACCCGGCUGAGUCGACCCGGUGAGUCAACUCGGUGACUCGGUCAACCGGUUGGUCUGACCGGUUUAAAUUGAUUUCGAUUCGAUUAGGGUAAACCGAUCGGUUAAGUCAAAUUGAUUUCUGAUCAAGGGUUGACCAGAUUGAUCUUUGACCAGGGAGUUGACUUUUCCAUAAACUUUGACCAGACUCGUUUUAAACCAUUCGAAAGGCGUUCUGACUCGAUUUCUCGCCCUGGUUUCAGAUUUGGAGUCUAUUUGAGCAUCUGGAGUCCAUAGAUACCACUUCUUCUUGUUUCUAAGGUGAGACCGAUGAGCAGAAGUGAUUAUACCGGACCGGUGCUUUUGGGCUUUUACUACUAUCGAGCUUUGGACUUCUAUCACUUUUAUCGUUUUAUCGCUUUUGGGCCUUUGGGCUCCUAUCUAUCGUUUAUGUUAUCUCGUAUUUUGGAAUUUUAGUUCAUGUCGUACUUUAUAUUUCGGAUGUUAUCGUUAUUGGGCCUUUAGGCCUUGUGGUAUCGAAUUGACUUUUAUAUUAUGAUAUGGAGAUUAUUAUUAUUAUUUCGGUUGUA